rnacentral:rRNA from 1 species
UAAAGCAUUUUAUGGGGGAAGAGAAAAAGGACGGUACCCCAUGAAUAAGUCCCGGCUAACUACGUGCCAGCAGCCGCGGUAAAACGUAGGGGACAAGCGUUACCCGGAUUCACUGGCCGUAAAGAGCGUUGAGGCGGUUCUGUAAGUUGGCCGUGAAAGCUCCGGGCUUAACCCGGAGGAUGUCGUUCAAUACUGCGGGGCUUGAGGACAGCAGAGGAAGGUGGAAUUCCCGGUGUAGUGGUGAAAUCCGUAGAUAUCGGGAGGAACACCCGUGGCGAAGGCGGCCUUCUGGGCUGUUCCUGACGCUGAAGGCGAAAGCUAGGGGAGCGAACGGGAUUAGAUACCCCGGUAGGGCCUAGCUGUAAACGAUGGAUGCUGGGUGUGGGGGGUGUAAAUCCCCUCUGUGCCGAAGGCAAACGCGUUAACCACCCCCCCUGGGGACUACGGCCGCAAGGCUAAAACUCAACCGAAUUGACGGGGGCCCGCACAAGCAGCGGAGCGUGUGGUUUAAUUCGAUGCUACACGAAGAACCUUACCUGGGUUUGACAUGCACGUGGUAGGGAACCGAAAGGGGACCGACCUUCGGGAGCGUGCACAGGUGCUGCAUGGCUGCCGUCAGCUCGUGCCGUGAGGUGUCGGGUUAAGUCCCGUAACGAGCGCAACCCUUGCCCUUAGUUACGAGUGUCUAAGGGGACUGCCCGGGACAACUGGGAGGAAGGUGGGGAUGACGUCAAGUCAGCAUGGCCUUUAUAUCCAGGGCUACACACACGCUACAAUGGCCAGUACAAUAGGUAGCCAAGUCGUGAGACGGAGCCAAUCCUUAAAGCUGGUCUCAGUUCGAAUUGCAGUCUGCAACUCGACUGCAUGAAGCUGGAGUUGCU